AUGGGUGAGUAACACGUAGGUAACCUGCCUAUGAGACUGGGAUAACUAUCGGAAACGAUAGCUAAGACCGGAUAACUGGCUUUCUCGCAUGAGAGAAUCAUGAAACACGGAGCAAUCUGUGGCUUAUAGAUGGGCCUGCGGCGCAUUAGCUAGUUGGUAGGGUAAUGGCCUACCAAGGCGACGAUGCGUAGCCGACCUGAGAGGGUGACCGGCCACACUGGGACUGAGACACGGCCCAGACUCCUACGGGAGGCAGCAGUAGGGAAUCUUCCGCAAUGGACGCAAGUCUGACGGAGCAACGCCGCGUGAGUGAUGAAGGUUUUCGGAUCGUAAAGCUCUGUUGCCCUAGACGAACAGCAAGGAGAGUAACUGCUCUUUGUGUGACGGUAUAGGAGAAGAAAGCCCCGGCUAACUACGUGCCAGCAGCCGCGGUAAUACGUAGGGGGCAAGCGUUGUCCGGAAUUAUUGGGCGUAAAGCGCGCGCAGGCGGUUAAUUAAGUUGGGUGUUUAAGCCCGGGGCUCAACCCCGGUUCGCAUCCAAAACUGGUUGACUUGAGUGUAGGAGAGGAAAGUGGAAUUCCACGUGUAGC
rnacentral:rRNA from 1 species